UACGUAGGGUGCGAGCGUUAAUCGGAAUUACUGGGCGUAAAGCGUGCGCAGGCGGUUCGUUAUGUCCGAUGUGAAAGCCCCGAGCUCAACUUGGGAAUGGCAUUGGAAACUGGCGGGCUGGAGUGUGGCAGAGGGGGGUGGAAUUCCACGUGUAGCAGUGAAAUGCGUAGAGAUGUGGAGGAACACCGAUGGCGGAAGGCAGCCCCCUGGGCCAACACUGACGCUCAGGCACGAAAGCGUGGGGAGCAAACAGGAUUAGAUAC
rnacentral:rRNA from 1 species